rnacentral:misc_RNA from 1 species
CCGAGUUAGGGUCUCCUCCGGGAGGCCCGACCUCCCAACCCUGUGUCUAUUAAACCUGUUUGUGUUGCUUCGGCGGAACGGCAGUCGCCCCCUCUCGCGGGGGAAUACUGUCGCCGGGGGAUUCACGGUCUCACGACCGCCCCUGGAGAGCGUCCGCCGAUGGCCCCAACCAAAAAAACUCCCAAACCAAACUAUAAUACCUAAAACUUCUGAAUCAGACUUUUGAUAUACCAAUCAAAAAUA